rnacentral:rRNA from 1 species
AUGGACCUUCACAAGGAAGUCAGUGCUGCUAAAUUAACUGAUGAUCUAGUGGUUGAUAUCCUCUCCCGGUUGAAUUACAAGUCUUUUUGCCGCUGCAAGUGUGCCUAUAAGGCAUGGUCUGCUUACUCCUCUGAUCCAGACUACCGCCAGAAGCUGCCCAAACCCACUGGCCUUUUGUACCAAGGCCACAAUAAGUCUGCUAUCUCGCUUGUUAGCCUGUCCCAAGACGAUGGAGAAGUCGGUGGAAUUCUUGCUUACGUGCCACAUUAUGAGCAUUUAGAAUUUCUUGACUGCUACAAUGGUCUUAUCCUUUGUAAGUACAGGAGCAGCUAUACUUCUCCAGGCAUUUGCCGCUUUGUUGUGUGCAACCCAGCAACACGAGAGUGGAGAAUACUUCCUGAUACACAUCCUGGGACAGAGGACCCUUGCUGUGUAACUAUUUUGGCGUUUGAUCCAUCAUGGUCACCACAGUUCUACAUCUUCAAUUUCCAUCUGGAACAUGUACUUGGUUUGAUACUCGGUACCAGCAAACUUGAGAUAUUCUCUUCUGAAAGUUCCACAUGGCUUGAGGAUGAUACCUUGGACCGAGAUAUAAAUAUUUCUGGGCGAACACACUUAUUUGUUAAUGGAAUGUUGUAUGUGACUGUUGGAGAUGAAGUUUUGGUGUUCGAAGGCCUGGAGGCAAUGAGUGAUGGCAUACCGCCCUAUCAUCAGACCAUAAGUUUGCCGCCUGAAGCUUCAUACCUGAGCACUUUUACCAAUGGUUGCUUUGGCAAAUCUUCAGGGAUCUUACACUAUGCAUUGCCACAUGAGAAUGGUUGUUCAAUUGUUGUUUGGACAUUGGAUGAUUUUGGUCAUCAUUCAUGGACUUGGACUGAGAUGUGUCAUCUUAGUAUGACCGAUGCAUUUGGAAAGGAUGAGUUUGUUCAGUACGACGUUGGUGGCGAUGGUGGUGAGGAUAAUUGGUUUUGGAACUGCGAUUAUCGGAUUGUCGACCUCGACUUGGAGAGAGGGCCUGUUUUCCUCCAUGACCAGAAGGCAAAUAAGCUUCUUUCAUACAAUAUCAGCACGGGGAAACUCAACAAGAUACAAGACGUCUGUAUGUGGCAUCAGUACUAUGUCUAUAUACCAUGCUACUCAGAGCUUCCAGCCCAAGAACCUUCGGUUGACUGA